rnacentral:rRNA from 1 species
CAGCCGCCGCGGGAAAACGAAGGGUGCAAGCGUUACUCGGAAUUACUGGGCGUAAAGCGUGCGUAGGUGGUGGUUUAAGUCCGUUGUGAAAGCCCUGGGCUCAACCUGGGAAUUGCAGUGGAUACUGGGUCACUAGAGUGUGGUAGAGGAUAGUGGAAUUUCCGGUGUAGCGGUGAAAUGCGUAGAGAUCUGGAGGAAUACCGAUGGCGAAGGCAGCCAUCUGGCCUAAUACUGACGCUGAGGUACGAAAGCAUGGGGAGCAAACAGGAUUAGAUACCCCCGUAGUCCCUGUCUCUUAUAA